rnacentral:rRNA from 1 species
UACGGAGGAUGCGAGCGUUAUCCGGAUUUAUCGGGUUUAAAGGGUGCGUAGGCGGGUUAUCAAGUCAGCGGUAAAAUCGUGGAGCUCAACUCCAUCCAGCCGUUGAAACUGAUAAUCUUGAGUGGGCGAGAAGUAUGCGGAAUGCAUGGUGUAGCGGUGAAAUGCAUAGAUAUCACGCAGAACUCCGAUUGCGAAGGCAGCAUACCGGCGCCCGACUGACGCUGAAGCACGAAAGCGUGGGUAUCGAACAGG